UGUGGCCUACGGGGGGCAGCAGUGAGGAAUAUUGGUCAAUGGCCGAGAGGCUGAACCAGCCACGUCGCGUGAGGGAAGACGGCCCUACGGGUUGUAAACCUCUUUUGUCGGGGAGCAAAGCGAACCACGUGUGGUUCAUUGAGAGUACCCGAAGAAAAAGCAUCGGCUAACUCCGUGCCAGCAGCCGCGGUAAUACGGAGGAUGCGAGCGUUAUCCGGAUUUAUUGGGUUUAAAGGGUGCGCAGGCGGGAGAUCAAAGCAGCGGUAAAAUGGCGGGGGUCAACCCCGGGCGGCCGGUGGAAAUGG
rnacentral:rRNA from 1 species